UAGUCGUCUCCGUGGGCCGUCACCAGCGUU
rnacentral:sRNA from 1 species